GAUGAACGCUGGCGGCGUGCCUAAUACAUGCAAGUCGAGCGAACAGACGAGGAGCUUGCUCCUCUGACGUUAGCGGCGGACGGGUGAGUAACACGUGGAUAACCUACCUAUAAGGCUGGGAUAACUUCGGGAAACCGGAGCUAAUACCGGAUAAUAUAUUGAACCGCAUGGUUCAAUAGUGAAAGACGGUUUUGCUGUCACUUAUAGAUGGAUCCGCGCCGCAUUAGCUAGUUGGUAAGGUAACGGCUUACCAAGGCAACGAUGCGUAGCCGACCUGAGAGGGUGAUCGGCCACACUGGAACUGAGACACGGUCCAGACUCCUACGGGAGGCAGCAGUAGGGAAUCUUCCGCAAUGGGCGAAAGCCUGACGGAGCAACGCCGCGUGAGUGAUGAAGGUCUUCGGAUCGUAAAACUCUGUUAUUAGGGAAGAACAAAUGUGUAAGCAACUAUGCACGUCUUGACGGUACCUAAUCAGAAAGCCACGGCUAACUACGUG
rnacentral:rRNA from 1 species